rnacentral:rRNA from 1 species
AGUGAACGCUGGCGGUAGGCCUAACACAUGCAAGUCGAACGGCAGCACAGUAAGAGCUUGCUCUUACGGGUGGCGAGUGGCGGACGGGUGAGGAAUACAUCGGAAUCUACUUUUUCGUGGGGGAUAACGUAGGGAAACUUACGCUAAUACCGCAUACGACCUACGGGUGAAAGCAGGGGAUCUUCGGACCUUGCGCGAUUGAAUGAGCCGAUGUCGGAUUAGCUAGUUGGCGGGGUAAAGGCCCACCAAGGCGACGAUCCGUAGCUGGUCUGAGAGGAGGACCAGCCACAGUGGAACUGAGACACGGACCAGACUCCUACGGGGGGCAGCAGUGGGGAAUUUUGGACAAUGGGCGAAAGCCUGACCCAGCAAUCCCGCGUGGGUGAAGAAGGCCUUCGGGUUGUAAAGCCCUUUUGUGGGGAAAGAAAACCAGGGGGUUAAUCCCCGGGUGUUAUGACGGUACCAAAAGAAUAAGCACCGGCAACCUUCGUG